rnacentral:rRNA from 1 species
ACGAACGCUGGCGGCAGGCCUAACACAUGCAAGUCGAACGAACCUUCGGGUUAGUGGCGCACGGGUGCGUAACACGUGGGAAUAUACAUUUCGGUAAGGAAUAACACAGAGAAAUUUGUGCUAAUACCUUAUAAUGACUCCGGUCCAAAGAUUUAUCGCCGAAGGAUUAGCCCGCGCUAGAUUAGUUUGUUGGUGAGGUAAGAGCUCACCAAGACUACGAUCUAUAGCUGGUCUUAGAGGAUGAUCAGCCACACUGGAACUGAGACACGGUCCAGACUCCUACGGGAGGCAGCAGUGAGGAAUAUUGGACAAUGGGGGCAACCCUGAUCCAGCCAUGCCGCGUGAAUGAAGAAGGCCUUAGGGUUGUAAAAUUCUUUCAGAUGCGAAGAUAAUGACGGUACCAUCAGAAGAAGCUCCGGCUAAAUUCGUG